GAUGAGCGGUGGUGUAAUGGGUAAGCACGUGGGUUUGGACUAGUACUAGUUUGGACACCCCGAGGUUCUCGGUUCGAAUCCGGGCCCCUUCA